AGAAUCAACGCUGGCGGCGUGCCUAACACAUGCAAGUCGAACGAGAAAGUGGAGCAAUCCAUGAGUAAAGUGGCGACCGGGUGAGUAACACGUGACUACCUACCCUUGAGUGGGGGAUAACCUCGGGAAACCGAGGCUAAUACCGCAUAAUAUCGAGAGAUCAAAGGAGUAAUCCGCUUUUGGAGGGGUCGCGGCUGAUUAGCUAGUUGGUAGGGUAAUGGCCUACCAAGGCGAAGAUCGGUAUCCGGCCUGAGAGGGCGCACGGACACACUGGAACUGAAACACGGUCCAGACUCCUACGGGAGGCAGCAGUGGGAAUUUUGCGCAAUGGGGGAAACCCUGACGCAGCAACGCCGCGUGGAGGAUGAAGCCCCUUGGGGUGUAAACUCCUUUCGACCGGGAAAAUUAUGAUGGUACCGGUGGAAGAAGCACCGGCUAACUCUGCGCCAGCAGCCGC
rnacentral:rRNA from 1 species